AUAUCGGAACGAGCCCAGUCGUGGGGGAUAACGCAGCGAAAGCUGUGCUAAUACCGCAUACGAUCUCUGGAUGAAAGCGGGGGACUCGCAAGAGCCUCGCGCGAUUGGAGCGGCCGAUAUCAGAUUAGCUAGUUGGUGGGGUAAAAGCCCACCAAGGCGACGAUCUGUAGCUGGUCUGAGAGGACGACCAGCCACACUGGAACUGAGACACGGUCCAGACUCCUACGGGAGGCAGCAGUGGGGAGUUUUGGACAAUGGGCGCAAGCCUGAUCCAGCAAUGCCGCGUGCAGGAUGAAGGCCUUCGGGUUGUAAACUGCUUUUGUACGGAACGAAACGGUCCUUUCUAAUACAAGGGGCUAAUGACGGUACCGUAAGAAUAAGCACCGGCUAACUACGUGCCAGCAGCCGCGGUAAUACGUAGGGUGCGAGCGUUAAUCGGAAUUACUGGGCGUAAAGCGUGCGCAGGCGGUUAUAUAAGACAGAUGUGAAAUCCCCGGGCUCAACCUGGGACCUGCAUUUGUGACUGUAUAGCUAGAGUACGGUAGAGGGGGAUGGAAUUCCGCGUUUAGCAGUGAAAUGCGUAGAUAUGCGGAGGAACACCGAUGGCGAAGGCAAUCCCCUGGACCUGUACUGACGCUCAUGCACGAAAGCGUGGGGAGCAAACAGGAUUAGAUACCCUGGUAGUCCACGCCCUAAACGAUGUCAACUGGUUGUUGGGUCUUCACUGACUCAGUAACGAAGCUAACGCGUGAAGUUGACCGCCUGGGGAGUACGGCCGCAAGGUUAAAACUCAAAGGAAUUGACGGGGACCCGCACAAGCGGUGGAUGAUGUGGAUUAAUUCGAUGCAACGCGAAAAACCUUACCUACCCUUGACAUGUCCAGGAGCCUGAAGAGAUUUGGGUGUGCCCGAAAGGGAACUGGAACACAGGUGCUGCAUGGCUGUCGUCAGCUCGUGUCGUGAGAUGUUGGGUUAAGUCCCGCAACGAGCGCAACCCUUGUCGCUAAUUGCCAUCAUUUAGUUGGGCACUUUAACGAGACUGCCGGUGACAAACCGGAGGAAGGUGGGGAUGACGUCAAGUCCUCAUGGCCCUUAUGGGUAGGGCUUCACACGUCAUACAAUGGUCGGUACAAAGGGUUGCCAACCCGCGAGGGGGAGCCAAUCCCAGAAAGCCGAUCGUAGUCCGGAUUGCAGGCUGCAACUCGCCUGCAUGAAGUCGGAAUCGCUAGUAAUCGUGGAUCAGCAUGUCACGGUGAAUACGUUCCCGGGUCUUGUACACACCGCCCGUCACACCAUGGGAGCGGGUUCCGCCAGAAGUAGGUAGCCUAACCGCAAGGGGGGCGCUUACCACGGCGGGGUUCGUGACUGGGGUAAAGUCGAACAAGGUA
rnacentral:rRNA from 1 species